UCUUCUUCUUCUUCUUCUCUUUCACGUUGCUUCCAACCUCCAUGGAAGCUUGAUAUGGAGCUUGCAUGAUUUUCUCUCUCUAGCUCUAGUUUUCAUACUUUUGAGCCCUUUUGAGUAGAACUCUUGUAUUCUUUCACUCUCUCACUUCAAAACCCUUGAUAAAUCUUAUUUUCAUACUUUCUCUCACUAGUUGGGCAUUCUAGAGAGAGAAAAAGAGAAUUAUUCCAUUUGUGUGGAAGCUAUUGGAAGAGAAUUCAACUACAAAGGAACCCUAGGGUAAGUGAUGAAUUAAGUUUGGUUUUUAGCUGUGAAUAAUGGCUAGUAAUUUGGAGUAUGAACUGUUUUAUUGUUGAGUAUGUUCAUUACUUUUUAGUGAUUAAGAUAGUGAACAUAGAUAGCCAUUUAAUGUGGCAAUUGAAAGCUAGCUAAGAGAUAGCUUUUAAGGUUCAUAGUGUGUGAAUUGACCUAUUGCUUAUGCUAAUGUGAUCCUAGGUUCUAAUGAAGUCCCAUCCUUCCAAUUGGAUCAUUAGGGGAAAUAGAGUCAGCUAAAGGCUCAACAAUA
rnacentral:lncRNA from 1 species